rnacentral:lncRNA from 1 species
CUUGCUCUUGGGGAGACUCGAACUCACAACCUCUCGGUUGAAAAUGGGGGUUGCUUACCAUCAUAUCAACCCCUCUUGUCUAUUGUUGAGCUGAAUUUUAAGUGAAUGAUAAGUAUUAAUCAUUAAUUAGGGCCUAAUUAAAACUUUCCAGAACCAGCAUUAUGUAGUAAAUAAGAAGCAUUAUGUAGUAAAUAAGAAAGAUAAGAUACCACCAUUACUAUUACCUUCAUUUAGGAUUUGGAUAACAGCGUGAGUCUCAGUACAGUCUUUCCUCCUCAAAACGAUAAUCAAUCUAAGAGGACUAUCCAGACAAUGAAAUUCAGAGGUAAUCCCUUGAUUUUCGAGGAUCAUUAGAGCAUCUAACUAGUGGUCAAUCUCCAUGCCAAACCUAGCUCGAUCUUAGACAACUCGGACCACAUUGAUGAACAUCGCCAAUGCACUAUGAAACCAACAUAUACUAAGAAUUAUGUUACAACUAUUUGGAUUGCAACUCUAAUUUCUUAUAUUGUGUCGGCCAACUAAUUUUGUUAACCAGAAGUGGAAAAGGAAAAUCUUACAACUAACAUCAAC